AGAGGCUACCUCAUUCCCAGUCAUCUGCGCAAUGAUGUCCAAGGGCAGAAAAGGACUGUGUGUGUCUUUUCAUUAACCUGAGAAACCUUUCUAGAAGUCCUGGACAGCUUUCUAUUCGCAUCUAAUUGCCCAAAUUAAAUACGUGCCUAAUUAAUCCCUAGCAAGGUGAAUAAGACCACGUCAGUGCCUUAGAUCAGUCAUAAUUCCCUCCCGAAGUGCUGGAGCUGGAGAACCUCGGGCAGGAAGAUGGAACCUGCUCAAAAGUGGAGCUCUGCCAGCAUAGGAGAAAGAAGAGGCAUAGGGAGAAGCUCCAACAUUUGCUAAAGACAGGGAGGGACAAAAAGUAAAUAAAUAAAUAGCAAGCGUAGAGAGGUGGAGAGUAACACACCAAAGAGGGAACAAGAGACACAGAGGCCACACUAUCCUAAGCUCUUGAAUGUACUAUGGCAUCAAAUGUCCUGGGAAGGACAUCAAAACAUCUUAUAUCACCCACAGGAACCUCAAAAGAGAGAGUGGAAUUAAUGAAGAGGUCUUCACUGAGCAUUUGGAGAAAUUGUUUUUGUGUGUGAUCUCAGUCAUGGCAAGAUAAGAGAAGCUUUCCAGGAGGUGGCCGUGCCUUUUGUAAGAUUCAAAGACAUGCCUGUCCAUGCCUGGAAAGAGGAAGUACGAUGUGCAUGGCCAGGACCGACUGAAAAGACCUGAGAGAACCCUAGGCUUGCCCCUCUGGAAGAUCUGUGGGCUCCGUGCAAGCAGGAGGUGAAGGCAAAGGGAGAGCAAACGUGAUGUAAGCAGAGGUUUGAAAAGUGCUCAUGUGUUGGAACUUUCAUCUUUCAUCACAGCCACCUUCAGGCUUGUGUGCUGAGACAUGUGGCCUAGCGAAUGGCCAGCACCAACUGUCAGACGUGUAAGUGAGGUUAUCUUAGACCACUCUGGCUCAGCUGAUCCUCCCAAUGACUGCAGCCACAUGAAUGACCCCAGCUGAAACCACUAUAAGCCCACCUAGUUGAACCUGGUCCAAAUUGCAGACCACAGAAU